rnacentral:tRNA from 1 species
GGUAGCUCAGUUGGUAGAGCAGCGGACUGAAAAUCCGCGUGUCGGGGGUUCGAUUCCCUCCCUAGCCA